UGAGGCUCGUUUCCUGUUCUUUGUAGAAAACAAUGCUUCCCUCCCCCUGUCCCCCCCUCCGCCCAUCCCAGGGUGGCUUUAUCUCCCCUCCCUUGGGAUUCACUGCACUGGGUUCCUCAGAAGCUGCGUUUUAUGUUUGUCUUAAAAUACAAAACCCUGCUCUGAUUUAACUGAAUUGAUUUUAAAGCUGUGUCUGGUAUUUGAUGUCUGGUAGAUGCAUUUAAACUGAUCUAAACUUUCUGUGUUUGGGCACAUUUACAUGAAGCUGGUAAUUUACUGUGCAAGUGACAGCAACUGGAAGGCUGGACCGUAAAUGCUGACAUGGGUCGAAAUUCAGGUCUGGGGCUUUUCAUGCAAGCUGGAGCACAGAUGCUCAGAACAACGUAUUAUCUGUCUAUUAUACAACAUGAUAUUAUGUCUGUGCUUUGCACUGCUUCAGCUACUUUGUUCCUAGCUUAGUGCCUCCACGGAGUGAAUCGUGUACGACUGGGCCAUUACCGCUCCAUGCACCACGAGGACUUCCACAUCACAUCACGCUUUUGUGACCUCAGAACAGGAACGAGAUCCCCCAGAUCUCCCGGCUGCUGUAGAUUCCCAGCAGCUGGUCCUGCUGGGACAGACUGGGAUCCAGCCACAGGAGAGCUGUGGGGACACCUACAACAACGUCUCCUGCAGGCACCUUCCUGCCAGCCCUGCAUGGAGAGACGGUGCCUGCGUGAACCAGCAUGCAGCCAGUUCGCCAGUGCAUCUCACUCCUGAGACCUUCUGGGGAUCUCAGGAAGAUGCAGGGAUCUUCCCCCAUAACUGGAGGAUGCGAUCAAGCAAUUUUAUUGGAGAUUUACAAGCAAAUAAGGCAUGGACUGGGAGACCAGAAAACCUGAGACCGUGUGCCCCCUCACCAAGAAGGAGGCGAACAAAGCUAACCCAGUCCCCGGCAGCCUUUAGAAGAAAUUCCCUAGGAGCAACACCACAACAAGAGCAUCUCCAGAUGUGCUGGAGCUUGUCCUCAUCACCUCCGCAAAGCCCCGAGCAUGAUGGGGGCCGCUGUGCUCUGCACGUUGGCUGCCAUGAGUUUUCAGGACAUGCAAAGAGGAUUUGGGAAACUCUGCUCAUUGGGUCUCUUUAGAGUCGGGAUUCCUCCAAGCAAGAAAGGAUGAGAGGCUGCAGGAUGCAGGGGCUUGAUUUGGCGAGAGGCUCUGCCCUGCUCGGAUUCUGCUAAAUUUGAAACUUCCCAGGACUUGAGCCGCUCUCAUGUCCUGCAGCUGUGUGGGGAGAGCCCUGCUGGAGCUGUUACAGUGCUGCUGCGAAUAAGGGGAUUUUCUCUCUCCUGAUGUACAUAGCCUGUACUUCCAUCCAAAAGAAGGGAAGAAAAAGAAAAGCCCCUGCUUAGCACCCACACACCCCGCACCUCCCGCUGAGUUACGCAAGCUGAAGUCUGCAGCGUGUACACGGCUGCCCUGAGAGGUGCAUGUGACAGAUGACAGCACUGGGAGAACUUCCUUUAAUUAUUACUACUAUUGCUGUUACUAUUAGCAAUUAAACCAUUUGUUCUAAACCUGCCUGGAUUUCAAAACAAGCACGGGGUGGUCAGAUUGGCAAAGACUAUUGGGUUGACUGGUACGGCAUCCUGCCUGGAGUGAAGAUAAUAGAGUGCCUGGGUGAUUGCUCAAUGAUGAUGGAUUAGUGGGGAAUUGCUCUUGGACCCUGAGAGCAACACUCUAGGGCCUGACAAGGCUUGUGCCCUGCUCCUCUGGAGACUGGCUUGCACAAGGACAGGACCACGAUGUUGUAAAGAGCAGGUGUUGCAGACAUUUGAGACUUGGAAGCCACACCUCGCGUGGGGUGCGAUUCGUCUUUGCUGUCACUACUGAUGCUUUUUGGUUGCCUGGAGCCCCUGCCCUGUGUGGUGAAGAAACACAGAUAUUUACAGCUCUGCAGAUGUGAAUAAGAGUGGGUACAUUGCUCCCGCUAGGCUGUGCAGCAGCAAUGGAGACAAAUGCUUUCAUUUGGCUGCGCGAACCUCAUCCAGCUUUAGCGUGUCUCCUGCUGCUGUUAUUUCUUCCAGACCAUGAUUUGCUAAACAGCUUCCAAACCAAGCAGAGGCUGCAAUUCCUGCCCUGUGGAGC
ensembl:lncRNA